UCUAUAAUGCAGUCGAGCGAACAGAUGAGAAGCUUGCUUCUCUGAUGUUAGCGGCGGACGGGUGAGUAACACGUGGGUAACCUACCUAUAAGACUGGGAUAACUCCGGGAAACCGGGGCUAAUACCGGAUAAUAUUUUGAACCGCAUGGUUCAAUAGUGAAAGACGGUUUCGGCUGUCACUUAUAGAUGGACCCGCGCCGUAUUAGCUAGUUGGUAAGGUAAUGGCUUACCAAGGCGACGAUACGUAGCCGACCUGAGAGGGUGAUCGGCCACACUGGAACUGAGACACGGUCCAGACUCCUACGGGAGGCAGCAGUAGGGAAUCUUCCGCAAUGGGCGAAAGCCUGACGGAGCAACGCCGCGUGAGUGAUGAAGGUCUUCGGAUCGUAAAACUCUGUUGUUAGGGAAGAACAAAUUUGUUAGUAACUGAACAAGUCUUGACGGUACCUAACCAGAAAGCCACGGCUAACUACGUGCCAGCAGCCGCGGUAAUACGUAGGUGGCAAGCGUUAUCCGGAAUUAUUGGGCGUAAAGCGCGCGUAGGCGGUUUCUUAAGUCUGAUGUGAAAGCCCACGGCUCAACCGUGGAGGGUCAUUGGAAACUGGGAAACUUGAGUGCAGAAGAGGAGAGUGGAAUUCCAUGUGUAGCGGUGAAAUGCGCAGAGAUAUGGAGGAACACCAGUGGCGAAGGCGGGCUCUCUGGUCUGUAACUGACGCUGAUGUGGCGAAAGCGUGGGGAUCAAACAGGAUUAGAUACCCUGGUAGUCCACGCCGUAAACGAUGAGUGCUAAGUGUUAGGGGGUUUCCGCCCCUUAGUGCUGCAGCUAACGCAUUAAGCACUCCGCCUGGGGAGUACGACCGCAAGGUUGAAACUCAAAGGAAUUGACGGGGACCCGCACAAGCGGUGGAGCAUGUGGUUUAAUUCGAAGCAACGCGAAGAACCUUACCAAAUCCUUGACAUCCUUUGACCGCUCUAGAGAUAGAGUCUUCCCCUUCGGGGGACAAAGUGACAGGUGGUGCAUGGUUGUCGUCAGCUCGUGUCGUGAGAUGUUGGGUUAAGUCCCGCAACGAGCGCAACCCUUAAGCUUAGUUGCCAUCAUUAAGUUGGGCACUCUAGGUUGACUGCCGGUGACAAACCGGAGGAAGGUGGGGAUGACGUCAAAUCAUCAUGCCCCUUAUGAUUUGGGCUACACACGUGCUACAAUGGAUAAUACAAAGGGCAGCGAAUCCGCGAGGCCAAGCAAAUCCCAUAAAAUUAUUCUCAGUUCGGAUUGUAGUCUGCAACUCGACUACAUGAAGCUGGAAUCGCUAGUAAUCGUAGAUCAGCAUGCUACGGUGAAUACGUUCCCGGGUCUUGUACACACCGCCCGUCACACCACGAGAGUUUGUAACACCCGAAGCCGGUGGAGUAACCUUUUAGGAGCUAGCCGUCGAAGUG
rnacentral:rRNA from 2 species